CGCUGUUCGGGAAAUGUGUAUUUCCCCUGAUGAGUCCGAAAGGACGAAAACAGUU
rnacentral:hammerhead_ribozyme from 1 species